CCCCAGAAGCACCACACCAUUUUUCUUCAUCUUCCGCAUCUGCACCUACCCUACUUUCACCAUGGAAACUAUACCUGCGCUCUAUAUAUAAGUGCUCCAGUCGAGCACCCAUUGCACAAAUUGUGAGCCAGGUCGCCAAUCCGAGUAGAAUAGAAACACAGGAAGGAGCAAAGAGACGAACGAUCGAGGAUGGCAAAGAACAACUCGUCUGCGACCUCGGUUCGGCUGAUGCUGAUUCUCCUCGUUCUGCUGGUUUUCGUUGGUGGCAUCCUGGCAAAUAGUGGGCCGUCCAAAUGCAGCAACCCUGCGGCUCAGCGAGACUGCCCGCGGAUCCCUAAUGGCGGCUCAUAAGCAAGAGAUGAACCAUUUCCGCGUAGCAGGAUUCGGUAGGAUCUUGUGUUGGCAGGCGUUGGAAGCUUCCUGUUAUAUGCGAAGCAAACAAUAUACAAGUUCUUGAGGUUGUCCGUGUGUUAUAUGUUUGUUUGUAUUGAUAUGUUUGUACUGUGACCUGGUUUCAUAUAAAUAAUAUGGCAUGCCCCUUGCAUUAAAAA